GCUACCAAAUUACCCUCUCUGAGGACAUGUGUACAAAUGCAAGUAAUGUUUUUACAGUACCUCAAACAGUUAAACCAUCUGGUAUUCAUCUGCCAAGGAACUCUAGCUGUUUUGUUAAAGGCAUUAAAAAGAGGAAUAUACUUUAAUAUAUAUAACCAAAAAAGGAAAGGAAUUUACGAAUGAGAGAGAUAAAGUGUAAUGACAAUAAUGGCAUGGCUUUGCUUAUAAAAUAUUUCAUUCUGAUUAGUUGGGAGCAGUGACGGGUUUAAAUCCAUUAAAAUGCAACGACAUGGUAUUGUAAAUUAUUAUUUCUAUUAAUUUUUUAAUGUUAUAUAAAAAAGGAAAACGUUAUUAUUAUUAUAUAUAGUUACAUAAUAUAAAGCAAGUUUGUACCAAAAAAAUAAUAAUGUAUAGCAAGUUCAAUAAGACAAUAUUUAGGAGUACAAAUAAAUAUGAUGAGAUAAACUGAAAUGCACAAUUAAUGCAGAAUAAAACUGUUAACCAACCAUUAUAUUUCUUUAAGAAACCAACCAUCAAGUUAGGAAACAACAAUUCACAACCAACCGAUAUUUUUAAGUAAGAAAACCUCAACCAAAAAACCAUUUUAAGGUAGGAAGUGAAUCUAGUCAUAGACAUAAAUCAAUCCUUAUCUGAUUGUAUGGAUAUCAUCCAUAAUACGUAAAUAAACUAAAAAUAGAAAACCCAUGUAUAAAAUUGUGCCUAUUAAAAAUCUGUACAUUGACCUUAAAUGAUACAUUCAAUCAUAUGGUUUGGAAACUUCUUAUUGCAUGUUUGAAAAAUAUGUCUAAUCCAAGGUUUAGUAUAUUUCUUACUGCAUGUUUAGCAUUGUUGUGUACUUGUUCAUUAGGAAACACACUCAAGUGGGAAUGGGCAUCCGAACCAAUGCAAGACACCUUACUAGGCAAAGGGACAUUUACUGCAUCUAAACUUUUAAAUCAAAAGAAUGUUACCGCUGGAGCUAGUGAUUAUUUAUGGUACAUGACCGAAGUAGUCGUAAAUGACACAAAAAUUUGGGGAAAAGCAAGGCUGCACGUCGAUACAAAAGGUCCUAUUCUUUAUUCAUAUAUUAAUGGAUUUUGGUGGGGCGUAGAAGGUGGUAGCCCGAGUAAACCUGGUUUUGUAUAUGAAGAGGAUGUUUCUUUGAAACAAGGUGCCAAUAUUAUAAGUUUGUUAAGUGUUACACUUGGCAAAUCAAAUUGUAGUGGGUACAUUGAUAUGAAAGAAACUGGUAUUGUUGGCGGUCCUGCGAAACUCAUUUCAACUGAAUAUCCAAACAAUGUUUUGGAUUUAUCAAAAUCUACUUGGUCAUACAAAGUUGGGAUGAAUGGUGUGGCUAGAAAGUUCUAUGAUCCCAAAUCUACCAAUGUAGUUCCAUGGCAAACACGUAAUGUUUCUAUAGAAGGACCAAUGACUUGGUACAAGACCACUUUCAAGACCCCUGAAGGUUCAAACCUUGUAGUCCUGGAUUUGAUAGGUCUUCAAAGAGGAAAAGCAUGGGUUAACGGUCAAAGUAUCGGAAGGUAUUGGAUUGGUGAAAAUUCAUCUUUUAGGUUUUACGCAGUGCCAAGGCCAUUCUUAAAUAAAGAUGUAAACACGUUGGUCUUGUUUGAAGAGCUGGGUCUAGGUGAAGGCCCUUUCAAUGUGUCUGUCGACAUAGUUAGCAACGAAUCCAAAAAUUUCGUUAAGUGGGAUCAAGGUUGCAUAUCAUGAAUAUUUAUACAAAAAUAUAUAAAUUUAUAACCAAUAAAAUGAUGACACCGUUAUCUUUAAGAAAAAUAAUUAGAGAAAUGUAGACACCUUAAUAUCGAAUAGUUAGCAAUCAAUCACUAUGUAUGUAUGUUACCAAUCAAUCAUUAACAAUAUAUAUCUUCCAUGUGGUUUCCCAUUUGACUAUCCAUAAAGUUUCUAACUUCUUUCUUCAUUUGCACUCGCCACACGCAAUAAUAAUGCUAGCUUCAAAAGUAAGUGCAUCAUUGGAUAAGCAAUAUUCUAUCUAGUUUCUCUCAACUUUAUUUAACGAUCACUAAUCCCAUCAAAUUAUAAAAGUAACCAUAAAUAAUGAGCAUCCAUGAUAUAAUUUUCAAUUUGAUUGUCGAGUUCCAUGAUUUCUAAAGAAAAAAAUACCGACGGAUGAAAAUACACACUUCCCUCUUAUGUUAAAAUAUACACUCCCCUCCCUUGAAAAGAAAAAUUUACACACCCCUCCCCUAUAAGAUGCUUGAAUUACAACCCCCUCCGUUAAUAAUUAAAUAUGCACUACACUUUAAUCUAUUUUAACUUAAAUAAAUAUGUUUAUGAUAUAUAUUAAUUUUGAACCACCAAAUAAGAAAAAUAAAUUCAUUUCUUUAGAAUUUAAAUGUUUAUGAUAAUUAAAUUUAAAUAUUUUGCUAUAAAUUUUAGAUUUUAGAGUAUAAAAUUUACUUUUAAAUUACCAUAUUUUAUUGAUCUUUAGUAAUUUUUCACAUAUUUUAAUUUUAUUUUUGGUUGAUUCAUAUUUUAUAUUAGGGUUUAAAACUAUAUGUUAAUGAAAUUGUCAAUAAAAGCUAGUAAAAGAAUAUGUAUUCAAAUUUUUAUUAUAUUAAAAUAGACCCGCAACGUUUUUUUUCCCAAAGUAUGUUAGAUUAUUAUAUUUUUUCUAGAUUAUUAGAAAUAAAAAAAAAUAUUGAGGGAUUAAAGUGUAGAUUUUAACUUAAGAGGGGAGGGGAAUGUAAUUCAUGCUUCUCUUAGGGGAGUGGAGUGAAAUAUUUUUUAAUACAUUUUGAAUAAGAGGGGAGGGGAGUGUAUAUUUGAACAUAAGAGGGGAGGAGGGUGUAAUUCAAGCAUUUUUGAGGGGAGGGGAGUGUAAUUUACUCAAUUAAUAAACUUCUCCUUUUCAAUUGCAAAAAGUAAUAUCUUGAAUACAAGCUUCUUAUUAUUAAGCAAUUCAUCUUCCACUAUCUUUGAUUUUCUAUUUGGAGCAUUUCAUUUUGGUUUUAACAUCUUCCAUUAUCUGCUUUGAUUUUCUUUUUUUGUCUUUUUUGAAGAAUUUUAUCUUGGUUUUAAAGGAAAAAAACAGUGGUCUUUUUGCAUGUUAAAUCCCAAAUGUCAUUGUCAAAAGGAGAAAGAAAAAUGCCUUUACAAAAACAGAGAUAACACUUAUCCUUCUUUUUAUAGUGCAGUACGAAGGAAUAAUAUUUUAACAACUAUAAUACGUAUAUACUAGUCUUUUCGACCCAAAUUAUAUGAAGUUUUGAGCUUUCACACGUAUUAAGAAAUGUAGUUAAUUUUGUAUGGGACAAGGAUAUUAUGUGUUUUUUUUUUUACAAAAUUAUCCUUAAUAAAAAAUAUAGAAAAGAUAAAUUAAAGGAUUGAAAGAAAAUAAAAUAAUAAUAAAUAGUUGAGGGUUUAACAAGAAAAGUAACAUCAAUGUUUCAUUGAUGUUGUAAAGCACUUAUAAUUUGGAACAAUUUUUUUCCUAUAACGGUAAUUUUGGACCGAGAGAGUAUUUGUUAACAUAUAAGGCAUUAGUUUGUGUUUAAGUGGGGUGAACACAAGAUUUAACAUUGAGUCAACAUAUUAAAAUAAUCAUGUUCAUAAUCAUAUACAUAAAUAAUGAUUUACCUAUUACUUGCUUGUUUACCACGGGUCCGUAAUCUACCCGAUUAGCGGUAAAAUGCUUAUAUGGUCAUUCUUGUUCAUACAUGACUUAACUUAUCAUACUUAGGUUUCAUGUUAACAUACUAGUUCUCGACGAUCUACGUCGAGGCUCUAUGAUUUUCCCAUUCUUAGUUAAGCUUCUACCCGUACAUGGUUCAUGUCAUAUACACUCGUAUGUCAUUCAUCGUCGAACCAUGUUAAUGUUCUAUCAUGGAAUUUCCUUUUAAAAACAUAACUUGGAAUUUCCUUUUAAUAAAAUACUGCAAGAACGAGCCUCGGAUAGCCCUUGUUGGCCACAAGACGAGUCGACAACACAUGUUGUGCUGUCAAACUCGCCACGGCAAGUUGUCUACUCGCCAGGGCGAGCUCAACGCGAGCUACUCCAGAGAGCACAGAUUCCCAACUCGCCAUGGCGAGUUCUAGCUCACCCGGCGACUUGUGACAGUCUAGAAUUCUGCAGAAAACGUAUUUUUGCAUAAAAGCCUCAAUUUUAAGCAUCAUAAGGUACCUAGCACUUCCAGAACACAAAAAAAAAAACAGUAGGAAUUAUAAUACAUGACAUUAUUAACAUGUUCUUGACGAUAUAUGGUACAAAGGGGUUCUCUACACACCUAUUUCAUAAACUAUCACAACAUGAUUCCUCAUAUAAGUACACACAACCCAUGGUAGGAAAAACUAUCUAAAGAACUCACCUUAUGCAUCAAUUAACUUCAAUCAUCUCAACAUCCAUCAUCUCAGCUCUUGAUUCUUUGAAACCCUAACCAAGCUUCAUUCAUGUUUCCACUUGAUUCAAGCUUAGCUUCCAAAGUUACUUCUCACAUUACUUCUAAAUGCUCCAUUUGCAGCUCACCAACUGUUAAAGUAUGCUAAUGAUUCAACUUCAUCUAAAACAUCCAAAGCCCUAGCCAUGAAACCUCUAGAUAAGAAGAUUUAAGGUGAAUAAAGCUUGGCCCAAAGAUGUUUUCAGCUGCAUGCACCAUAUAAAAAUCAUCCAUUAAUCAUGACCUCUCUUGGAGUGAAGCAUUUGGGAAGAUUAAGUGGAGGUAGGAGAAGAAGGAUCGAAAUCCUAGAGAGAGAGGGAGAGGAAAAUUUGAACUUGUAACUUAGAGAGAGAAAAUUCAUGU
rnacentral:lncRNA from 1 species